AACGAACGCUGGCGGCAGGCCUAACACAUGCAAGUCGAACGCCCCGCAAGGGGAGUGGCGCACGGGUGAGUAACGUGUGGGAAUAUGCCCUUCGGUUCGGAAUAACACAGGGAAACUUGUGCUAAUACCGGAUACGAUCUACGGAUGAAAGAUUUAUCGCCGAGGGAGUAGCCCGCGUAGGAUUAGCUAGUUGGUGAGGUAAUGGCUCACCAAGGCGACGAUCCUUAGCUGGUCUGAGAGGAUGAUCAGCCACACUGGGACUGAGACACGGCCCAGACUCCUACGGGAGGCAGCAGUGGGGAAUAUUGCACAAUGGGCGCAAGCCUGAUGCAGCGACGCCGCGUGAGGGAUGACGGCCUUCGGGUUGUAAACCUCUUUCAGCACCGACGAAGCGCAAGUGACGGUAGGUGCAGAAGAAGGACCGGCCAACUACGUGCCAGCAGCCGCCGUAA
rnacentral:rRNA from 1 species